rnacentral:rRNA from 1 species
GAUUACCGCUGGCGGCGUGCAUAACACAUGCAAGUCGAACGAAGUGGCGGACGGGUGAGUAACGCGUGAGUAACCUGCCUUAGAGAAGGGGAUAGCCGUUGGAAACGAAGAAUAAUAACCUAUGCGCUAAGAUGGUCUUGCGUCUGAUUAGUUAGUUGGUGGGGUAACGGCCCACCAAGACCGCGAUCCGUAGACGGCGGUAGAUAGGGUCCGGACACAUUGGGACUGAGACACGGCCCAGACUCGACGGUAGGCAGCAGUGGUGAAGUGUGCCCAAUGGGUGAAACCCUGAUGUAGCGACUCCGCGGGAUUUAGAAGGCCUUCGGGUUGUAAAAAUCUUUUCUAUGUGCAGCAGUACCAUAGUAAUAAGGACCGGCUAAUUACGUGCCAGCAGCCGCGGUAAUUC